AUAUCAUGCUGAAUAUACCGGUUGUCGUUAGAUCACCGAAGUCAAGCAUCAUUGGGGACGGUCAGUACUUGGGUGGGUAAACACCUGGCAACACCGCGUGCCGUU
rnacentral:rRNA from 1 species